rnacentral:rRNA from 1 species
AGGACGACGCUGGCGGCGUGCUUAAUACAUGCAAGUCGAGCGAGGCCUUGGAAUUGGAGUCCUUCGGGAUGAAGAGUCCUUGGCCUAGCGGCGGACGGGUGAGUAACGCGUGGGCAACCUACCCCAAAGUCCGGGAUAACAGUGGGAAACCGCUGCUAAUACCGGAUGGCUUUACCUGAGGGCAUCCUCGGGUAAAGAAAGGUUACGCUUUGGGAUGGGCCCGCGUCCCAUUAGCUAGUUGGUGAGGUAACGGCUCACCAAGGCGACGAUGGGUAGCCGGCCUGAGAGGGUGAACGGCCACACUGGGACUGAGACACGGCCCAGACUCCUACGGGAGGCAGCAGUAGGGAAUAUUGCGCAAUGGGCGGAAGCCUGACGCAGCGACGCCGCGUGAGCGAAGAAGGCCUUCGGGUCGUAAAGCUCUGUCCUUGGGGAAGAAGGCGAAAGCUUGACGGUACCCAAGAAGAAAGCCCCGGCUAACUACGUG